GCCCCUGUAGCUCAGUUGGUUAGAGCAGUGGACUCAUAAUCCAUCGGUCGCGGGUUCAAGUCCUGCCGGGGGCA
rnacentral:tRNA from 2 species